rnacentral:rRNA from 1 species
AUCUAAGUACCCCGAGGAAAAGAAAUCAACCGAGAUUCCCCCAGUAGCGGCGAGCGAACGGGGAGGAGCCCAGAGCCUGAAUCAGCAUGUGUGUUAGUGGAAGCGUCUGGAAAGGCGCGCGAUACAGGGUGACAGCCCCGUACACAAAAGCGCAUGUGCUGUGAGCUCGAUGAGUAGGGCGGGACACGUGGUAUCCUGUCUGAAUAUGGGGGGACCAUCCUCCAAGGCUAAAUACUCCUGACUGACCGAUAGUGAACCAGUACCGUGAGGGAAAGGCGAAAAGAACCCCGGCGAGGGGAGUGAAAAAGAACCUGAAACCGUGUACGUACAAGCAGUGGGAGCACCCUUCGGGGUGUGACUGCGUACCUUUUGUAUAAUGGGUCAGCGACUUAUAUUCUGUAGCAAGGUUAACCGUAUAGGGGAGCCGGAGGGAAACCGAGUCUUAAUUGGGCGUUAAGUUGCAGGGUAUAGACCCGAAACCCGGUGAUCUAGCCAUGGGCAGGUUGAAGGUUGGGUAACACUAACUGGAGGACCGAACCGACUAAUGUUGAAAAAUUAGCGGAUGACCUGUGGCUGGGGGUGAAAGGCCAAUCAAACCGGGAGAUAGCUGGUUCUCCCCGAAAGCUAUUUAGGUAGCGCCUCGUGAAUUCAUCUCCGGGGGUAGAGCACU